rnacentral:lncRNA from 10 species
UUUGGGAAAGCCAAGGAGAGAGUUUAUAUUACUCAUCAACAAUAGCACCUCGUAAAGAUUGUGGUUAAAUACUUCUAUUUCUUUCUUUAUUUUAUUUUAUUUAUUUAUUUCUGAGACGGAGUCUCUCUCUGUCACCCAGGCUGGAGUGUGGUGGCACAAUCUCGGCUUACUGCAACCUCCGCCUCUCGAGUUCAAGUGAUUCUCCUUGCCUCAGCCUCUCGAGUAGCUGGGAUUACAGGCACCCGCCACCAUACCUGGCUAAUUUUUGUAUUUUCAGUAGAGACGAGGUUUCACUAUGUUGGCCAGGCUGGAGAUGAGAAAAAGAAUAGAUAAUUCAUCCUGAUUUGAGAUGGGCCACGUCCAGUGCACUUAGGGGCUCAGAAUUUGUCCUGUAAAUCAGCGUUUCUCAAACUGAGCUGUGUGGAAUACUGGAGACCACCCAUGGAUCUACUCUCAGAAAUCUGUGUGCUCUUUCCCAUUUUUAAUACUGGUGAUAUUUUAAAAUGAAAUAUUACAAGUCUAUUCUGGAUCAUCUGGAGAGCCAGCUCAGACCAAGGGGACAGAGACCACACUCGCUUGAUUCCAGUGCCAUAGGCAUUUUGUAUGGAGGAUUGCUUCCACACCAAAGAAGGCACAGUGAUGUCAUAAAGAGGUUUCACAGUAGUUUGAAAGGAGAAGAGGAGGGUGAAAAUAAAGUCGUCACCUUGAACAAGCAUACACCCCAGGGCAGCAUGGGUCCUGGAAUAAUGCACUGGGCAAGAACAGGAAGAGCUUCAAAGAAAGGAUUGACUUUCUGGCCUGAGGAGUAGAAAGGAGCAGAGAGAGUGGAAGACAUCCUUUGUCCCCCAAGGAAACUCAUGCCUGCAGCUGCAGCUGUCACAGUGGUGACAGUGGAUUUGGGUAGGCACCCAAAACUCUGAGGAAGGAGAAUCUUUUUCAUCAGAGGAAUAUGUCUGAAGAGUGUGGUGGAAUCUCUGUUGCAUUUUUUUUUGUCUCUGUAGCCUCCUGCUGCUUGACUCUGCACAUAUACACACUUGCAGUAAGUGUAUAGCAGAACCAGGAAACUAAACUGCUCAGAUUUCUAGGCAGAGGGCCAAGAAAGCAGAUCCCUGGACGCAAAAGAGUGAGGAGGAACUCCAGAAAGGGGAAGCUCAAGAAAGUGACCCACCAAUUGUAUAUGAACUCUUGGGCUUGCUCCAAGCUGAGUAUGCAUGGAUCUGACCCCAAACAGCAUGCUAAAGGUUUUGAGAACUAUGGAGUAGACCACUUCCUGGGAUUCAGUCUUUGUAAUGAGUGGUGCACACAUAAAACUGAUCUAAAGAACAAUGGAAAGUCUUUGAAAACUAAACUGACAUUAGAACCAUAGCUUAUACAAAGCAUAUUAGAACAUACAUCUUGAAAUCACAUUCAUUAGCUGCCCACAAAAGCAAAAAGCAAAACCCCAACAUUCUUCAUACGUUGUAUGAAGGCUCAUAACUUUAUAACAAUAUUCAAAAUGUUCAGCAUACAGCCCCAAAUUACUCAACAUAAGGAAAACCAGGGAAGCCUGACAAAUUCUCAUUGGGAGGAACAAUGAACGUACACCAAACCCAAGAUAUCCAGAUGUUUGAAUGAUCAGAGACAUUUAAAGUAGCCAUUAUAACAUGCUUCAAGAAGAAGAGCAAACAUUCUUGGAAGAAGCAAAAAUAUAAAGAGUCUUACAGAAAAACAGAAGGUAUAAAAAAGAGAACAAAUUGGAAAUUUUAGAACUGAAAAAUACAAUAACAGAAAUUUUAAAAAUCCAUUGAUGGACUCAAUAGCAAAAGAGAUGAUAGAGGAGUUGAUUUGAAGAUAGAACAAUAGAAAUUAUGCUUUAUAAACAACAGAGAAUAAAAUAAGAGCCUCAGAGAACUGUGGAGCAAGGUUAAAAGGUUUACUAUUUAUGCCAGAGUCCCAAAUGGACAGAAGAAAAAUGCCCCAUAGACUUCUUUUUUCAUUUGAUGAAAUCAUAGGUAAAAACAUCCAAUUUUGGUGAAAGACAUAAACAUACAAAUUCAAGAAAUGGAGCAAACCUUAAACAGGACAAAAUAAGGAAAUCCACUCCCAGAUACAUCAUAAUCAAACUUUAAAUCUAAAGAUAAAAAAAAUUGAGAGAAGCCAAAGAAAAACAACACAUUAUAUAUGAGGGAAAAACUAUCAGAAAGAUUGCAAACUUUUUAUCAGACCAGAAGGUAAUGGAAUAACAUUUUUAAAGUUACUGAAAGGAAAAAAAAAGCCUGUCAACUCAGAGUAUUAUAUCCGACAAAAUUAUUCUUCAGAAAUAAAGGCAAAAUAAAGACAUUGUCAGGUGAAGAAAAACUAAGAGAGUUUGUUAACAGCAGACUUUCUCUGAAACAACCUGUUGACAUUUGAGAUUGGAUAAUGCCUUAUUGUGGUGGGCUGCUCCAUACAGUAUAGGAUGGUUAGCAGCAUCCUUCUCACCAAGUUGUGACAAUAAAAAAUGUCUGCAGACAUUGCACUUUGGAGGCAAAAUGGCACUCAAUUGAGAAUCACUUCCUUGAAAGAAAUAUAAAGGUACUUGUUCUGUUGGAAGGGAAAUGAUGACAGAGGGAAGCAUGGAACUUUAGAAAUAAAAAAGAAGGGUCAUAAAAUCAUAAACAUCCAAGUCAAUACAGUAG